GGCACCUCAUAUAUACAUAUAUUAUAAUUUUUUUAUUUACUGGUAUUUUAUUUUUUAUUUUACAGGAGCAGGGAGACUGCAGGCCUAUUGCGGCCAGAGCGAUCACAUGGCCUGCGGGGGCCUAAUUUGCCAAGGGAGGACUGUGUGGGCUGUCAGGCAGUCCCCCCAGACCGGGAGCAAUGCCGAUUGCCAGCGAGGGAAUGACGGGGACCGGGUAAGUGGGGUGGACGGCGGGGACGUUCUUGUAACAUAUUCAUCCUCACCUUGCGGUCAGCGGCCGUUCAUCUGCAUGACUAACACUUGCGGCAUGUUAAUGGACGCCGGUCGCUGCGGAUCCACGGCUAAUUAUACCCCCACAUCCGCUCACGUGACUAACGAUGUCGGCCUGCACGUGACGUCACACAUGCACCGCGCGCGCACGGUUUGGGGUCAAAGAGCAAUCCCGGCCAAUCAGAAAGGUAAAGCAGGUAUAAAAACCUAGAAUUACCUUUUCUCAUUGCCCUGUCAUGGUUUCCCUAGUGGUUGUCCCAGAGCACAUUCCUGAUUCAAGUUUCUUCUGGUUUUU